rnacentral:rRNA from 1 species
CAGAGGGGGCAAGCGUUAUUCGGAAUUAUUGGGCGUAGAGGGCGCGUAGGCGGCUUUGCAAGUGACGGGUGAAAUCCCUCGGCUUAACCGAGGAACUGCCUGUCAAACUGCAUGGCUUGAGACCGGGAGAGGUGAGUGGAAUUCCCAGUGUAGCGGUGAAGUGCGUAGAUAUUGGGAGGAACACCAGUGGCGAAGGCGGCUCACUGGACCGGUACUGACGCUGAUGCGCGAAAGCGUGGGUAGCAAACAGGAUUAGAUACCCUGGUAGUCCACGCCGUAAACGAUGAGUGCUUGGUGUAGCGGGUAUCGACCCCUGCUGUGCCGAAGUCAACACAUUAAGCACUCCGCCUGGGGAGUACGGUCGCAAGGCUG